CGUAGGGUGCAAGCGUUGUCCGGAUUUAUUGGGUUUAAAGGGUGCGUAGGCGGCUUUGUAAGUCAGCGGUGAAUACUCUAGCUUAACUAGAGGGGUGCCAUUGAUACUGCGGAGCUUGAGUACAGAUGAGGUAGGCGGAAUUGACGGUGUAGCGGUGAAAUGCAUAGAUAUCGUCAAGAACACCGAUAGCGAAGGCAGCUUACUGGGCUGUAACUGACGCUGAUGCACGAAAGUGUGGGGAUCAAACAGGAUUAGAUGCCCUGGUAGUCCACACCGUAAACGUUGAUUACUCGCUGUUUGCGAUACACAGCAAGCGGCUUAGCGAAAGCGAUAAGUAAUCCACCUGGGGAGUACGCCGGCAACGGUG
rnacentral:rRNA from 1 species